ACUCUGUUACUCCGGCAGCAGCUCCAGCUUCAUCCGAUCCGCCGCCAUCAGCGCUACUUUUGUAACGGAUCCCCGCUCACUCCGUGCAGAAGGACCAAAGCUGAGAUCCACAAAUGGAGAACUGAGGGUUUGCAUUGCCUGGGCUCCAUGCCAGCACGAUAUUUCAGUUGCAAUCUGUAAACCAUGCAGUCACUCAUCCACAUUGUUUCUGGAUUGGAGCUGGCACUUCAGAGCUGGUGGGAAGAACUCCCAGUUGUCGUCACCUAUCCACCUACCCGUAGGGUGUGGGGGCACCAACGAUCUCUGCUAUAAGGUGCAGUGGACAACUACGGAGCCACAGAUCCAGCGAAGUCCUAGUGGUUGUUACUCUCAGUGAGUACAAUCUGCAGUGAGGUAAACAUGAAGUCCCCAGUGCUUCAAAAUGUUCCAAAUAAACAGAACUGAAUCAAGGAGAGAGCUGGACAUAAAAGGGUGUUUCUCACCAAACUUAAAGCCAAAAGAAGAAAGUAGACCAAGAUGGACUGAAAUACAGUACAGUCUCUUAUUUACACAGUUGCAAUGUCACUACAGCAGGGGAGAUGGCUAAUACUUUGCUUUUCUUUGUUGCUUUCUCCGUUUUUCCACUUUACUUUUUUUUUUUUUUUUUUUUGACAGCUUGAGUCACUUGCUCUAGGGAAAAUUACAGAAUAAUACUGGGUAAAAUUUGGAAAGAAAUAAUGAUAGAUGCAUAUUUUCUCAUAAGCCAAAGGCAUUGUAUUUUGUGGGAAUUCCAUGCAACAUUCAUCAGUUUUAGAGCUUAUUUUGUAAUCUGUUGUAUAUUAAAUUUACAAUGGUGAAAAACUCUACGUUUUUUUGUGACUUUUAAUUGUGAUGCCCAGAGAUCAUGGGAUAAUAUAAUGCUAUUAAUAAGCAUCCUGUUAUACUUUUUAACAGGAAGAAAUGUGGGAAAAAAUGUAGUCAUAAAGUGCUAUUUGUUUAAU
rnacentral:lncRNA from 7 species